rnacentral:rRNA from 1 species
GGGUUGUGAGGUUAAGCGACUAAGCGUACACGGUGGAUGCCCUGGCAGUCAGAGGCGAUGAAGGGCGUGCUAAUCUGCGAUAAGCGCCGGUAAGGUGAUAUGAACCGUUAUAACCGGCGAUACCCGAAUGGGGAAACCCAGUGUGAUUCGUCACACUAUCAUUAACUGAAUCCAUAGGUUAAUGAGGCGAACCGGGGGAACUGAAACAUCUAAGUACCCCGAGGAAAAGAAAUCAACCGAGAUUCCCCCAGUAGCGGCGAGCGAACGGGGAGGAGCCCAGAGCCUGAAUCAGCAUGUGUGUUAGUGGAAGCGUCUGGAAAGGCGCGCGAUACAGGGUGACAGCCCCGUACACAAAAGCGCAUGUGCUGUGAGCUCGAUGAGUAGGGCGGGACACGUGGUAUCCUGUCUGAAUAUGGGGGGACCAUCCUCCAAGGCUAAAUACUCCUGACUGACCGAUAGUGAACCAGUACCGUGAGGGAAAGGCGAAAAGAACCCCGGCGAGGGGAGUGAAAAAGAACCUGAAACCGUGUACGUACAAGCAGUGGGAGCACAGGUUUACCUGUGUGACUGCGUACCUUUUGUAUAAUGGGUCAGCGACUUAUAUUCUGUAGCAAGGUUAACCGAAUAGGGGAGCCGGAGGGAAACCGAGUCUUA